AGUGAACGCUGGCGGUAGGCCUAACACAUGCAAGUCGAACGGCAGCACAGUAAGAGCUUGCUCUUACGGGUGGCGAGUGGCGGACGGGUGAGGAAUACAUCGGAAUCUACUUUUUCGUGGGGGAUAACGUAGGGAAACUUACGCUAAUACCGCAUACGACCUACGGGUGAAAGCAGGGGAUCUUCGGACCUUGCGCGAUUGACUGAGCCGAUGUCGGAUUAGCUAGUUGGCGGGGUAAAGGCCCACCAAGGCGACGAUCCGUAGCUGGUCUGAGAGGAUGAUCAGCCACACUGGGACUGAGACACGGUCCAGACUCCUACGGGAGGCAGCAGUGGGGAAUAUUGGGCAAUGGGCGAAAGCCUGAUCCAGCCAUACCGCGUGGGUGAAGAAGGCCUUCGGGUUGUAAAGCCCUUUUGUUGGGAAAGAAAAGCAGCAGGUUAAUACCCCGCUGUUCUGACGGUACCCAAAGAAUAAGCACCGGCUAACUUCGUG
rnacentral:rRNA from 1 species